AUACAAAUCACCUGGGGAUCUUAUUAAAAGGAAGAUUCUGACUCAAUAGAUCUGAAGAGAGGCCUGAGUGUCUUCUAACAAGCUCCCAGGUGACGUCCAG
rnacentral:miRNA from 1 species